rnacentral:rRNA from 1 species
AACGAACGCUGGCGGCAUGCCUAACACAUGCAAGUCGAACAGUGGCGCACGGGUGCGUAACGCGUGGGAAUCUGCCCUUAGGUUCGGAAUAACAGCUGGAAACGGCUGCUAAUACCGGAUGCCUGAGGAUGAGCCCGCGUUGGAUUAGGUAGUUGGUGGGGUAAAGGCCUACCAAGCCGACGAUCCAUAGCUGGUCUGAGAGGAUGAUCAGCCACACUGGGACUGAGACACGGCCCAGACUCCUACGGGAGGCAGCAGUGGGGAAUAUUGCACAAUGGGCGCAAGCCUGAUGCAGCCAUGCCGCGUGUAUGAAGAAGGCCUUCGGGUUGUAAAGUACUUUCAGCGGGGAGGCGUUACCCGCAGAAGAAGCACCGGCUAACUCCGUGCCAGCAGCCGCGGUAAUAC